rnacentral:snRNA from 1 species
GUCCUGAGCUGGCAGGGGAGAGAGCGUGACCUCCAAGGAAGACUUCUCCUUCCCACUCCAGACGUGCUGCCCCGGGGACCCGCUGCAGGAGUUGUGGCAGUAGGGGCCUGUGUUCCCACUCUCCCCGA